rnacentral:rRNA from 1 species
UACGUAGGGGGCGAGCGUUGUCCGGAUUUAUUGGGCGUAAAGAGCUCGUGGGCGGCUUGGCAAGUCGGGUGUGAAACCUCCAGGCUCAACCUGGAGACGCCACUCGAUACUGCCAUGGCUAGAGUCCGGUAGGGGACCACGGAAUUCCUGGUGUAGCGGUGAAAUGCGCAGAUAUCAGGAGGAACACCGGUGGCGAAGGCGGUGGUCUGGGCCGGCACUGACGCUGAGGAGCGAAAGCGUGGGUAGCAAACAGG